AGACAGUAGUUCUGUUAGUUCAUUUUUCUUUUAUUGGAAUUUUCUGUAUUAUUACCAUUUUCAUAUCUUUGUAUAUAUGUUACUUCUGAUUUAUUUUUGGUCUUUAAAACUUUACGAAUACUAAACAGGUAGACUUAUACUGCUUUUCUUUGUUUUCGAUUAGUUUAUUUUCGAUACCUCAUUUUUAGUUUUAGUGGUACAGCUCAUAUCUUAGUUUGGAUUUUGUAUUUUUAUUGGAAACUUAUUUGUGUAUUUAAACUGAGUAUACAUAACUGACAUUAUGUUCUAUUAGUAUAAAUUUUUAUUUCUUCUACCAAUGGUAGGAUGUUUGCACGUACAAUUAAUUAUUGACUAUAUGCAUAUAUUUUUUUUCUAGUGUGGUUAUAUUUUCCACCUAACUAGAAAUUAUUUUCAGUAUUUAGGUAUUUUAUUUAAUUUAUUGAUUUGAUUAUUUAUAUAUUUUGCUGGCAUUUUGAUUUGUUGGUGUGUCGCUAAUAUUUUCUCCAUAUGUAUCUUUGUCUUACAAACUUUAGAUUAUAUUUUAUAUUUGUUAUUUUUGAUAUUUGGGUUGUUUGGUAAGACAGGCACACACCACAAAGCAAUAUCAGUCCAGAACAUUAGCUUCUACACAUGAUACGUUGAAUUCGCAUGGUUCGGAUGAUUACAGAUGGUCAUCCAAAUUAUUUUUCUUUAAUUGGGAGUGUUAAACAUUACAAUGAUAAAUUGUAUAGUAAAGUAGUUCCAUUAUCCAUCUCAGUUUCUAGUUUUAUUAUUGUUGAUAAUAAUAUUAUAUCAAUGUGGGUACCAUAAUAUAAUGCUCAUAGAAAUCAGAUACUUUAGGUUGAGAUUUAAACAUAAAUCUUUUAUUAGUUAGAAACAUUGGUACUUUUUCUAUUAAGUUUAGAACAAUCCUCAGAAGAAGAUUAACUUAACGGUGUCGUUCAAGCUAAUCUCUUCUUCUGUUUGUCUUUAGCUUAGCUCAAUCGUUAGUAUGGUUAGAAAUUUUAGUCUGAUUUUUUUUUACCAUCUGAUAAUGCACGUACCUACAUACAUUGCUUGAUUUCAUCUUUGGCUUUGUUGUUGAUGACUUUUAAUUUAUUACUUAUUAAUUUAAUUAUUAUGUAGUACUUUAUGUAUGAGUUUAUUUUUUUUUGGUAUUAUAAGCACAUUGCGCAUUUUAAUGAUUAGUAUGAGUCAAUAUUAAUUGCUGAUCCUGUUAGUAGGAUUAUACAAUUAAUAAGAACUUCACUUGUAUUUUUGUCUAGUUUUUGCACACCUAACCCCUAAGUUAGAAGGGUUGUUGAGUAUUAUUUAUUUAUAUAUUUGGAUAGGUGAACUCAUACAAGUACCUACUCUUGGUUAAUAUGGAUAUUAUUAUGGAACUAUAUGUUAUGCACUACAUAUGUCAGAUUACCUAUGUGUUAUAUAUUUUGAAUAUUUGAUUACUUACUAAUUUUUUUUAUUAUUUUUGAUAUAUUGUUAUUGAAUUUGCCAUAUUGGAAAGAUGUGGUUUUUAAUUUGUUAUUGGGUUACUCUAUUAACAUUUGUCUCCAAUAUCUUAAACACUUAAUAAUUUAUAUCCUUCUAUCCUACACACUAUGAUUCUGGAAUUAGUUUGGAAUGUUGAUGUAAGUAUGUAAUUCAUAUUUCUGCUUAUGAUUAGUCUGUCAAUACUCUGAUUUGUGAAUGCGUGGGUUCGAAGUUGUUUCUCAGCAACUGAUCACUGCUGUUUGACUGACUUCGUAAUCUAUGUCUUUCAUGGCAGAGUAAGCAGACGUUUUACCAUUAUAAUAUUUCUUGUUAGGAAAUGACGGUCGCAUGUCCUAACCAUUCUUCUGUAAUUAGUCCAAGUAUUCCAGUUUUUUUUUACAAUUUGAUAGGGAAGUAUUUAGUUUAUAUUUUAUCUCGUACUUCAUAGUAUGUUUGUUGUUGACUAUCACUAUACGCAGUAGGUUUGUUAAGUCAGUAUUUGGAGUGUUUAGACAAAUGAGUUGUUCAUCAGAGUAUAUUCCCACUUCUUUCCUUAGGCAUUAGUUGCUAUUCAGAUUCUGGAAUAUUUCCUGAAUAAUUCCACGUAUGUGAGAACGCAUGAAUUUGCAGUUUUAUUUAAAAUUGUGCUCGUUCUCGUCAAUUUUUUUCCCUAUCACUUAUCAUAUUUUUUUUCUUCCUAUUAUUUAUCAUAGUGCCAUAGACCUUGUAAGUUCACCAUUCAUUCUGUUUUCUUCCUUACUUAUUCUUAUAUUAGUACCUUAUCUGAGUCUGGUUAUUCUCAUACAUCUGUUGUAGCAACAUGCUAUAGUUCGCGAAUACCAGCACGAAUUAAGUUAUGUAUUUUCUAGAAUACUUUAGUCAAUACACUUUAAGUAUUUAUCUUACUUUUGAUUUAGUUAGGUUACAUCUCUGUUACUUAGUCUGUUAGCAAUAUUUAUUCUGACUUAUUUUGAUUACUUAGUUUGGAUAGGUUCAUAUUACCGGAUGAGGGUGUAUGUAGACCUAAUUUAUUUAUUGUGUUCAGUAUUAGUUACCAUUGGAUCCAAUAAUUUAAUUUAUUUAGUAUUAGUAAGAAUUGGUCCAUAAAUUUGCCUGAUCGUUCUUCUUUGGAUAUACUCUUAUAUAAAUCUGGUGUCCAUUGAUAGUCCGAUUCUGGAUAAGUGUCCGAUUCUUCAUUUAUUUUGUGUAUUUGGUUGGAUAGGUUCGUAUCACCGGAUGUGGGUGUACGUAGACCUGAUCUGUUUAUGUGGUUUAGUAUUGGUGUGAAUUGGUCCAUAAAUUUGCCUGGUCGUUCUACUUUGGAUAUGCCUUUUAUGAAUCUGGUGUCCACUGAUAGUCCGACUUUGGAUUAAGUGUCCGAUUCCACAUUUAUUUUGGUUAUUGAGUUUUGGAUUCCUUUGGUAUGUUUAUUAUUGGUAUUAUUUGACAUUAGUGAGAAUUGUUCCAUAAAUCUUCCUGAUUGUUCUUCUCUGGAUAUACUAUUAUGAAUCUGGUGUCCAUUGUUAGUUCAGUUUUGGAUAAAGUGUUCAAUUCUUUACUUAUUUUAGUUACUGAUUUUUUUUUAAUUUCACUUUGGUAUAUUUACUUGUGAUGGUUCGAAUUGGCUCACACCUUUUCCUGGUUGUUCCGUCCUUGGAUAUACCCUUUAUAAAUCUGAUGUCCAUGGAUAGUUCAAUUUUGGUUUUGGUGCCCAGUUCGACACUUAGCAUUAUGAUGAACUUUAGUGCAAUAUUUAGUUCUGUUUUGACUUUUAAGCAAUAUAUUAAUAUUUGGUAGCAGAGAGUAACAUAGUAACAUUUUAGUAUGAAUUUGAGUAAUUUAUUUAUUUUUCCUGACCAUUAGUUUAUUCUUAUUGGUAAUCUUGCGAAUCAACGUGGAUUGUUAGACUAUUGUAAAUUUAGUUGUUAAUAUUUUGAAGUUUAGAAAAAAAAUUUUAUGGAUAAAAUUUUUUUUCCCGAGUAGAAGGGGAUUGUAACGGUCACGUUACAAAAUUAGCUCUUUAAUUAUUAUUAUAAUUAUUUUUCCUCGGUCUCCAUUUAAAUUCUCUAAUUUCUCGUAUGGGACUACUGGGGUGACGUCAUACCUCGGUGAUGGAACGUACUCCACCUAUCGAGAAUGAUUUCGUUUUCUGAGAGAGUUUGACGUUUGCCUUGGCGGAGAAGCGCCUCUCGUUCUUUACUUGACUGUUGGCUGUUGUGUCGAAUAGAGGUACCAUAUAGAAUGGCGGAUGAUUUCAUCCAACUUAUUUUAUAACAUCAAGCAAUUUAAAGUAAAGUAAAAAGUUACCACCAAGGAUUGUCUGGAGUGAGGAGACAUGUGGGUGACAACUCCUGUUGGAGUCUAAAUAGGAAUCAUUCGCCAUUUGGGAGAAACCCUACCAUGAAGUCAUAGACCUUAUUUGACCACCUAGAGAAACCACUACAGCCACAGUCAAGUCACCAUUGGGAAUAUGUCUAAUUGGGAGCAAGCUAUGGGAGCGUUCCAGCUCAAUUUUCGUCUUGACACCUGGGCCUAUAGGAGUCAUGGGGUCGCACCAUCCUGGUGCAUCAUUUUCUAGGAUGCAACCGCAACCUCGUUUGGGAACAUUUAGUGAGGUGUUUUAGUAACUAUUGGUUUUUUUUUAUAUUUCAGACUAUCUGUUAAAUACACUAUGUUUUUUUCCAGAUUUAGGUUACCUCUGGUUUUUUUUUGACAUAUUUGUAUAUUAGAUUAUUUGGUUCCCAAACUUUGUAUCUACGGUAACUUCUUGUGCACAGGAAUAAGCCUAGAGAAAAUUAGGUUUUUAGUACUUUAUUAUUGCUUUGAUAUUGGUUUAUAUAAUUCGGUUAAAUUUAUUUUGUAAUAUUACUUGCUUGUUUCCCAAAUAUUUUACUGUUAUUCGCUUUAUUCCAUUUGUUCGGUUAAUUUAGGUCAUCGUCGGUAUUUAUCUCAUCUUCAUUUCUACUUUAGUCAAUUGUAUAUUUAACUUUAUUUAUUCAUUAUUGUAUUUUCCCUUAGUGAGGCUUGGGCCUAUUUAUUUGUAUUAUUUUCAUCUUUGUCGGUUUCAAUUCAGUUGUACGUAGCAGGCGUACUAUAACCAUUUGGUAGAAGACUUAUGUAAUUUUGUACCCUAUAUGUAAGUAAGAGGUACUAAUACCUGUAAUUUUGUAACAGAUAACAUUAUUGUUGUUAUCUUAGAGAUGACUUUUUGUAUAACUUAUGUCAUUUUAGAGUCACAUGAUAUACACUUUGUGUAACUCAGAGAUUGUCAAAAAUCUAGUAGUUAUUUUUAAUAAAUAUGUAUUUAUUUUGUA
rnacentral:lncRNA from 1 species